rnacentral:rRNA from 1 species
AACGAACGCUGGCGGCAGGCUUAACACAUGCAAGUCGAACGCGCCCUUCGGGGCGAGUGGCAGACGGGUGAGUAAUGCAUCGGAACGUGCCCAGUCGUGGGGGAUAACGCAGCGAAAGCUGUGCUAAUACCGCAUACGAUCUGUGGAUGAAAGCGGGGGACCUUCGGGCCUCGCGCGAUUGGAGCGGCCGAUGUCAGAUUAGGUAGUUGGUGGGGUAAAGGCCCACCAAGCCGACGAUCUGUAGCUGGUCUGAGAGGACGACCAGCCACACUGGGACUGAGACACGGCCCAGACUCCUACGGGAGGCAGCAGUGGGGAAUUUUGGACAAUGGGCGCAAGCCUGAUCCAGCAAUGCCGCGUGCAGGAAGAAGGCCUUCGGGUUGUAAACUGCUUUUGUACGGAGCGAAAAGGCUCCCUCUAAUACAGGGGGCUCAUGACGGUACCGUAAGAAUAAGCACCGGCUAACUACGUGCCAGCCGCCGCGGUAAAAC